rnacentral:tRNA from 1 species
UGUGUCAUGGUGUAGUUGACUAUCAUGUGACUCUAACACACUGAAGGUCUCUGGUUUGAGUCCAGGCGACACUA